rnacentral:tRNA from 1 species
UCUCUGGUGGUUCAGUGGCUGAGACUUCAUGUUUUCAAUGUAUGGGGCCUGGGUUCGAUUUCUGGUCAGGGAA